rnacentral:rRNA from 1 species
GACGGGGGAUGCAAGUGUUAUCCGGAAUCACUGGGCGUAAAGCGUCUGCGGGUGGUUUCCUAAGUCCACUGUUAAACCUUGAGGCUCAACCUCAAAUCUGCAUUGGAAACUAGGAGACUUGAGUAUAGUAGGGGUAGAGGGAAUUUCCAGUGGAGCGGUGAAAUGCGUAGAUAUUGGAAAGAACACCGAUGGCGAAGGCACUCUACUGGGCUAUUACUGACACUCAGAGACGAAAGCUAGGGGAGCAAAUGGG